CCUACACAGGGGAUUUUCAUUGUACAAAUAAAACAACUCUUAUCGAUAAUCUAUUGGUGAUGCAAUCAUGUAAACAUGUCCAAAUCAUGGGAUAGCAUCAUUUUCCAUCAUAAUUGCUUGUUUUGUAUAUUGCAAUUUAAUGUCAAAAUCAAAUUUUAAUUUUAACAACAUAUUUAACCUCAAGUUGGUUUUGAUGGAAAUCAAUUUUUUAAUAAAUUUUAAUAAAAUUUGAUGAUUUGACUUUUUAAUUCAAUUUUUUAAGUUGAACCAAGCAAGUUUAGUUGGACACAUGAAUACAUCCCAUUUAUAUAUCAUUUCUUCCUACCAGGAGCGAAUUCAGCAUUGAGAUUGAACACGAGUUACAAUAUAAAUAUAUAUAAAAUUAUCUUUAAGAAAAAUUAAAUAUUUUUAGGAUUCAGGCACGGGUUAUAGCACAGUCGAACCCGUGCCUGGAUCCACUAUUGCUUCCUACCAAUUUAUAAUUUCAUUAAUUUGUAGUUACUUCUAAACAAGCACAAUUAACAUCGAAACACGAUCAAAUUUCAAUUUAAUCCUACAUUUCAAUAACUUCUAAUCAAAAAUUUAGUUAAACUUUUUAUCAAAUUUUUUGUCAAAUAACCCCAUAAAUUUGUUGCAUCACGCUGUAUUAAAAUUAUGACAUUUUAAGAAUUACUUAUAAAUAAUACCAUGUGGCAUCCUUAUUGGUGUUUAACACCAAAUUGGAGGUUUCUCUGUAUAUCUUGGAUACAACCUCAUUUUAUGAUCGAAAUAGAGUGUCGCAGCACGGUCCUUUACAUAACGUGAAUAUAGAUCUCUGGUAAGUCCCCGUUUGGUCUCAUUAUUUUAUAUUAUUAUAAUUUUUAGAAUAGUAUUUUUUUGAAAAAUACAUAGUUUAAUAUUCUUUUAUGAAAGUUUGUGUAGUUGAAAAUAAAAGAAAGAAAAAUUAUAAAGUAAACUAAUGGGGGCCAAGCGGGUAUUAAAUUUUUGUUGCAUAAAUGAUAUAGAUUCGAUCUUUGUUUUCUUAGUUCGGAUUGAGUUUUGAUAACACACCGAUGAUUUGGUGUGAUAAUACGAGUGCUUGCACAUUGUUCUCUAAUUCAAUAUUCCACUCAAGAACAACACAAAUCGAAAUUGACAUUUGUUUCAUGAAAGAUAAAAGUCUCGAAGAAAGAGAUUGAAAUUAGAUAUGCGGCUUCGUAUGAUCAAGUGGAAAAUCUAUUCACCAAGCGACUUUCACAUUAUUGGUUUCA
rnacentral:lncRNA from 1 species